AUUGAACGCUGGCGGCAGGCCUAACACAUGCAAGUCGAACGGUAACAGGAAGAAGCUUGCUUCUUUGCUGACGAGUGGCGGACGGGUGAGUAAUGUCUGGGAAACUGCCUGAUGGAGGGGGAUAACUACUGGAAACGGUAGCUAAUACCGCAUAACGUCGCAAGACCAGAGAGGGGGACCUUCGGGCCUCUUGCCAUCGGAUGUGCCCAGAUGGGAUUAGCUAGUAGGUGGGGUAACGGCUCACCUAGGCGACGAUCCCUAGCUGGUCUGAGAGGAUGACCAGCCACACUGGAACUGAGACACGGUCCAGACUCCUACGGGAGGCAGCAGUGGGGAAUAUUGCACAAUGGGCGCAAGCCUGAUGCAGCCAUGCCGCGUGUAUGAAGAAGGCCUUCGGGUUGUAAAGUACUUUCAGCGGGGAGGAAGGGAGUAAAGUUAAUACCUUUGCUCAUUGACGUUACCCGCAGAAGAAGCACCGGCUAACUCCGUG
rnacentral:rRNA from 1 species